ensembl:misc_RNA 7SK 7SK RNA
GGAUGUGAAGGUGAUCUGGCUGAGACAUCUGUCACCCCAUUGAUCACCAGGGUUGACUCAGCUGAUCUGGCUGGCUAAGUGGGUGUCCCCUUCUUCCCUCACCGCUCCAUAUGCAUUCCUCCUGAAGCUUGGUGGAAGAGGACAGCCUUCCCUGAAUAGAGACUGACUGGUCUUCAGUGGAGGGUAUAUGAGUAGCUGCACUCUUCUGCUAGAACCUCCAAUCAAGUUCUCCAGGUCUGGUUCUGGGACCCAGAGGGUGUUGCCUUAAUUUAUUUCCUUUAGAGCUCUGAAAGUCUUCUCUUCAAU